AUAUUGUUUUAGCCAAUAAUGACGAAGACUCGGCCGGCCUUUUGUCGCACGUCAGAUGUUCCCAAGCCACAUCCACAAGCCCGAAAAGCAAACAGAAAAGAGAGACCUUCGUUACCCUGAAAGAAAAACGUAGUGGAUUCCCGAGGUCCGUGCGAAUUAGCGGACAGCUUCAGGUCGUGCGAGUCUCUGUCGGUGUUGUUGCGGCUCUCGUGCUGGUUGCUUGGGACCUUGAUUGGUUGUUCAAGUUCUGGUUGGUAACCAGGUGCUUCUCACAGAUCAUCAAACUUUGGAAAUUGCAUCCGGUUUCAGAACGAGAUGGGGACUGAAGGGCCAAAGCCCCUCACAAUAAAUGUAACUGGAUUCAAGAAAUUUCGAGGUGUGCUUGAAAAUCCCACGGAAGCUAUUGUUAAUAAUUUGAAAAGUUUUAUUGAGAAGAAAGGGCUACCACCUGGAGUGACUUCUUGGGACCUGCACCACACUAGAGACUGCAGGCGAUGGUGCAGUUCGCAAGCUUUUGGAAGUCAUGGAAUCUGGCACCUUGACUAAUGGUUCUACUUACAAUGAACAAGUUGUGUGGCUUCACUUAGGCGUAUAUCCUGGUGCUCCUAAGUUUGCCAUUGAGCAGCAGGCGGUUAACGAAGCCACCUUUGGUUGUCCAGACGAGAUGGGAUGGCAACCUCAGGUUGAGAUGUCUCUGUUUGCUAUUUAUUACCAAUUCGUUCUGAUGCUGUUCUUUGUCCUUGAGUUGGUGCCCUUACAAAUUCGCUUUUGCUUCUUUCAGCAACUUUCAAUAGUUCCUGAAGAUGGCCAAACUUCUCGUACAAGACAGGUUUGCGAUUACCCCUCUGACAUUGUCUUCAUGGCAUUCUUGAAGACUUCCUUCUCCACGGAAGCAAUCCUUGAGUUCUUGAUGAAGAAGGGCUACGACGUGACCCUAUCGGACGAUGCUGGCCGUUUCGUCUGCAAUUAUGUCUACUAUCACUCUCUUCGGCUUGCAGAACAGAGGGGUGGCAGAUCUCUCUUUGCGCACGUUCCUUCCUUCUCGAGAAUCGAUGAGGAGACUCAGAUGAAUUUCGUAGCCUCCCUAUUGGAAGCUAUUGCAUCGUCGUAUUGACUUCCAGAUCAUGAGGUUUGGCUGUUCGAAUGUCUUUGCUGCUUCUUGUUAUUUGCAAAGGAAUCCGCGUUGCUGUACUCUACCGGUGCAAAAGACUUUUUAUAACUUCUGAUCAUGAUCUCUUUCAACUGUAUCAUUUAAAUAAUACAUGUUGAACUAGACGAAGCCAAGCUGAUAUAAAUGAUAGGCGAAGGAAAAAUCGCCCAUUCAUUCAGGA